rnacentral:tRNA from 17 species
GCCCAGGUGGCGGAAUUGGUAGACGCACUACCUUGAGGUGGUAGCGGCUUAGGUCGUAGGGGUUCGAGUCCCCUCUUGGGCACCA